UGAAUACGAGACGCUAAGGCGUCGAAGUAGUGUAUGUCAUACUUCCAAGAAAAGCUUGCACUGUCAUAGAUAAAAAACGCCUGUACCAUAACCGACACAGGUGGGUAGGUAGAGUAUACUAGGGGCGCGAGAUAACUCUCUCUAAGGAACUCGGCAAAAUAACUCCGUAACUUCGGGAGAAGGAGUGCCUUAUUCUUAAGGUUGCAAUAACAAGAUCCAAGCAACUGUUUAUCAAGAACACAGGUCUCCGCUAAGUCGUAAGACGAUGUAUGGGGGCUGACGCCUGCCCAGUGCCAGAAGGUUAAAGAAGCUGGUUAGCAUUUGCGAAGCUAGUAACUGAAGCCCUGGUGAACGGCGGCCGUAACUAUAACGGUCCUAAGGUAGCGAAAUUCCUUGUCGGGUAAGUUCCGACCCGCACGAAAGGCGUAAUGAUUUGGAUACUGUCUCGGAGAGGGGCUCGGUGAAAUAGACUUGUCUGUGAAGAUGCGGACUACCUGCACCAGGACAGAAAGACCCUAUGAAGCUUUACUGUAACUUGAAAUUGAAAUUGGACUUUAUUCGCGCAGUAUAGGUGGGAGGCGUUGAUUAUAAUCUUGCGGGAUUAUUGGAGCCAUUAGUGAGAUACCACUCUUGUAAUGUUAGAUUUCUAACUUUGAAUCAUUAUCUGGUCAAAGAACAGUUUCAGGCGGGCAGUUUGACUGGGGCGGUCGCCUCCUAAACGGUAACGGAGGCGUACAAAGGUUUCCUCUGAACGGUUAGAAAUCGUAUCUAGAGUGUAAAGGCAUAAGGAAGCUUGACUGUGAGACCUACAAGUCGAGCAGGGACGAAAGUCGGUCUUAGUGAUCUGACGGUACUGAGUGGAAAGGCCGUCACUCAACGGAUAAAAGUUACUCUAGGAUAACAGGCUGAUCUCCCCCAAGAGUUCACAUCGACGGGGAGGUUUGGCACCUCGAUGUCGGCUCAUCGCAUCCUGGGGCGGUAGUACGUCCCAAGGGUUGGGCUGUUCGCCCAUGAAAGCGGUACGCGAGCUGGGUUCAGAACGUCGUGAGACAGUUCGGUCCAUAUCCGGUGUAGGCGUUAGAAUAUUGAGAGGAGCCUUCUUUAGUACGAGAGGACCGGGAAGGACAUACCUCUGGUGUACCAGUUAUCGUGCCAACGGUAAACGCUGGGUAGCUAUGUAUGGAGUGGAUAACCGCUGAAAGCAUCUAAGUGGGAAGCCCACCUCAAGAUAAGUAUUCCCC
rnacentral:rRNA from 1 species